rnacentral:rRNA from 1 species
UAACGGCGAGUGAAGCGGCAACAGCUCAAAUUUGAAAUCUGGCGUCUUCGGCGUCCGAGUUGUAAUUUGCAGAGGGCGCUUUGGCAUUGGCAGCGGUCCAAGUUCCUUGGAACAGGACGUCACAGAGGGUGAGAAUCCCGUACGUGGUCGCUAGCCUUUACCGUGUAAAGCCCCUUCGACGAGUCGAGUUGUUUGGGAAUGCAGCUCUAAAUGGGAGGUAAAUUUCUUCUAAAGCUAAAUACUGGCCAGAGACCGAUAGCGCACAAGUAGAGUGAUCGAAAGAUGAAAAGCACUUUGGAAAGAGAGUUAAAAAGCACGUGAAAUUGUUGAAAGGGAAGCGCUUGCAGCCAGACUUGCCUGUAGUUGCUCAUCCGGGUUUCUACCCGGUGCACUCUUCUAUAGGCAGGCCAGCAUCAGUUUGGGCGGUUGGAUAAAGGUCUCUGUCAUGUACCUCUCUUCGGGGAGAACUUAUAGGGGAGACGACAUGCAACCAGCCUGGACUGAGGUCCGCGCAUCUGCUAGGAUGCUGGCGUAAUGGCUGUAAGCGGCCCGUCUUGAAACACGGACCAAGGAGUCUAACAUCUAUGCGAGUGUUUGGGUGUCAAGCCCGAGCGCGUAAUGAAAGUGAACGGAGGUGGGAACCUUUCGGGGUGCACCAUCGACCGAUCCUGAUGUCUUCGGAUGGAUUUGAGUAAGAGCAUAGCUGUUGGGACCCGAAAGAUGGUGAACUAUGCUUGAAUAGGGUGAAGCCAGAGGAAACUCUGGUGGAGGCUCGCAGCGGUUCUGACGUGCAAAUCGAUCGUCAAAUUUGGGCAUAGGGGCGAAAGACUAAUCGAACUAUCUAGUAGCUGGUUCCUGCCGAAGUUUCCCUCAGGAUAGCAGUAACGUUUUCAGUUUUAUGAGGUAAAGCGAAUGAUUAGAGGCCUGGGGGUUGAAACAACCUU